GACGAACGCUGGCGGCGUGCUUAACACAUGCAAGUCGAGCGAUGAAGUUCCUUCGGGAAUGGAUUAGCGGCGGACGGGUGAGUAACACGUGGGUAACCUGCCUCAUAGAGGGGAAUAGCCUUCCGAAAGGAAGAUUAAUACCGCAUAAGAUUGUAGUACCGCAUGGUAUAGCAAUUAAAGGAGCAAUCCGCUAUGAGAUGGACCCGCGUCGCAUUAGCUAGUUGGUGAGGUAACGGCUCACCAAGGCGACGAUGCGUAGCCGACCUGAGAGGGUGAUCGGCCACAUUGGGACUGAGACACGGCCCAGACUCCUACGGGAGGCAGCAGUGGGGAAUAUUGCACAAUGGGGGAAACCCUGAUGCAGCAACGCCGCGUGAGUGAUGAAGGUCUUCGGAUUGUAAAACUCUGUCUUCAGGGACGAUAAUGACGGUACCUGAGGAGGAAGCCACGGCUAACUACGUGCCAGCCGCCGCAGUAAGAC
rnacentral:rRNA from 1 species